CUGUAGGUUGCUAAAGACGCGCUUUUUGCUGAUUUGAAUUGACCUUUCUCGGCUACCGUACACUUCCGCUUCAGUGGGCAGCUAGCUCUUCAGACUGGAGGCUGGCUCCACGUCGGCUGCUGGUCGUCUAUCUGCAUAUCUCGAAAGAGUAAAUAAUCACAACAAAGUAACAAGUUGAAUGGCAGUCUGCUCAUUGCAGAGUGGUCGGCCAGUGGGACGAGUGGUCGGCCAGUGGGACGAGUGGUCAGCCAGUGGGACGAGUGGUCGGCCAGUGGGACGAGUGGUCGGCCAGUGGGACGAGUGGUCGGCCAGUGGGACGAGUGGUCGGCCAGUGGGACGAGUGGUCGGCCAGUGGGACGAGUGGUCGGCCAGUGGGACGAGUGGUCGGCCAGUGGGACGAGUGGUCGGCCAGUGGGACGAGUGGUCGGCCAGUGGGACGAGUGGUCGGCCAGUGGGACGAGUGGUCGGCCAGUGGGACGAGUGGUACUCCAUGCCUGGACCUGAGACAAAAAGUGAUCGGUAAGUAAAAAGCUUAGUCAACAUUUUGUGCAGAAAAUGUUUUGGCAUGAAACAUACCAGUGCGCAAGUUGAGUUGUUUAUGGCACAGAGUACUGCAAGCUGCAUGACAAGGAAGCAGAUUUUGUUCCUGGCUGCAUGACCCAGGAAGUGGAUUUUGUUCCUUGCUUCCUGUCAGAAAAUAGGAGAAAAAAAUGAUUGGAAUAAAGAUAAGUGUGCAAUGAGGAGCAUUGAAAGUGCCUCACUUCUCAGGUUGCCUUAGAGCCAAGUAAGUAAACACCACAGUGCUGCUGGUAUGUGGCUUUGCUCUUGUCCUCCGCUUCCCCUACGACCAGAUGGUGAUCCACACUGGACAAAAAAAAUAAAUAGUAAUUCAAAUGAUUGUUUGCUAAAAUGUCAUUUACUUUCCUUCCCUUACCAGCGGAGGGCUCUUCAGGCAGCACAGAGGCUGAAGACAAACUGUGGCAGGCUUUUCACUUUCUGGACCUGGGUUUGCCACCUCUGCCUGGAAAGAAAAAGGAACAUUGACACGACUCCAUUUAAGUUUACUGCUUUUGUUUCUUACUGUCGAGUGGAAGCAGCCAGUCGCUGGUGCACAGGCAGAGUUUCUGAACUGUUGUAAAAAUUCUCCAGGAUGGACACCUGCACACAACACUAACCAAUCAAGCUGCCAUUUCGUACAUUUUAUUUGUGUGUCAACUCUGAAAAUGGAGACAACUUUGAGGUACCUCUGCAUGGUUUUGGAGGGCUUUCGUCUUUGGCCAGCAGGUAGCAGAUGUUCCAACUGCAUCCUUACUGGAAAGGUCUCUGCAGGAAGAGGGGGGCGGGUAAGUGCUUUUAAACAAUGCCAAGUUUAUAGUCACCUGGACAAGAGGUUGAUGAUGCCACAAGAUUAAAACCGUGUAGAUCUUCACCAUGCUAUAGAAACAGGUCCUUUGGUCCCACCUAGUGGACAAAAGGAGGAAGAACAUGGUGAAAUGUUUGACAUGUGUCAAACGUUUGGACGCGUGCGUGUUUCACCAGUGAGGAAUGGAGGGCAGCACCGGACGUCUCUGCAACCACAGCUCGCUGCUCUGAAAGACACGUCAACCUGUUCCCUCGGUUCCAGAUGCAGGCCUGCCUGGGGACAGAAAUGAGAAGACAAUUAGAAGCAGUCGAUUGAAAGAGUUUACUUUAAAACUCAAAGUCAGUCGGCCAUGCAUGCUCGUUUUGAAGGUUUGCACCUGCAGACAGAAAGAAGAAAAUUAAAUGUUUGUGCAAA